CUGCUAUGAAUAUUUGAUGGGCCCAGCUGUGCAGGAGGGAGCCUAAAAGCCAUCCAUAAUUCAUCACGGGGCGUGCGCGUGAGGCAGCAGCGUGCGCCCUUCAGAACGGCCUCCUGCGCAGACAGCAGCCUCUCCAGGAGGAAAGGCCCUAGGGCUCAUCCUGCAUCACGAGCUCAUGGACCAGCAGCACGAAAGGCAAUUCAGCGACCCUCUCGCUGAGGCCCUGGAAGCUUCUGGCAGCCACUAGAUUCUCAGAGGUGGUCACUCACAGACGCCUGAGCUCUACCAUGUCGGCCCAACCGCCCUUGUGCUGACCUUCGGCCUCCUCACUCCCUCUCCGCAUGACCCUCUGAGGACCUUCUCUUCCCUGCAGGGCCCACAUUGACACCACCCAUGUCCCCACUAGGACGUGAAAGCCAUGGGCAUGGGGCCUGGCCGGGCUUAUUAGCUGCUGGGUCCCCAGCACCCAUGAAGGAAUGAGUGAAGGAAUGAAGGAGAGAAUGAGUGAAUGAGCGAACGAGUACAUUAGCUGCGCAAACACCAGCCCCUUCUAGAGCGCGGUUCUCACUGUCGCGACCCCACGAGUGACCCAGGAGCGUGUAGAAGGCAAAGGCCUGGGCCUCUCUCGCUCCUAGUUCUGACCGGGAGUCUGGGCAGGGUCCAGGCAUCUGCGUUAUGGACCAGGCCUUCCAGAGGCUUCCGACCUGAGUCAGGUGAGGUCCCCUCUGGUAGAAAGACGCUCUUCCAGGACAGCAGAGCGCGGAGCUGGAAGCCGUGUCCCUCUCGCCCCCUCCAGCCUGGGCUCCUGACAAACUGCUCAGACUGCAAUGCAGGAGCCAUUUCCCACUCUGCUCCCCUCUCUCUGCGCCACUCAGGGAUCCCGAGAGGACCCAGAUGAGGAUGCGGCUCCAGCUGUCUUCCUUCUGCAAACCCCUGAGGAUUCCUCUCCAGGGAGGAUUUUGAGUGGGGCAUGAGGAAUAUGCGUGUCUUCCAGGGAGAGGCUGUCUGAGACCACAAGCAGGGAGGGAGAUCCGUGUUCAGAGAGGCUGUUUGUCACCAGUGGGGGUCGGCGUGGUCAGGACGGGCCGGCGGAGGACCUGCAGGACUGGACAGAGCGGACGGGCGCUGCCCGAGUUGUCCCAUACCUCCCCCAUCAGCACACUUCGAGAAGCGGGUCCUGACCAGCUCCAGUCCAUUGCGGGAAGCAGCCCUCAGACACGGGGACAGCUGCGGGCUCAUGGUCCUGAGAACCUGGCUCUCCUGCCACUGGGAGGGCUCACGGAGGACGCCUGGAACCCCCUCCGUCACCUCUUCAGACAGUCAGGAGCCUGCUUUCCCCAAAACUG
rnacentral:lncRNA from 1 species